AUUUCACUUCUAAAAUAAUGAUUACAAUUAUACUUGUUUAUGUUGAGUUUUGUGGUGUUUUUCUUAAAAUGUAUUCAUUGAUUAUUAGCAAAAUUAGAUACCCACUAUGGCAAAUCAAACUUCUAAUUGCACACAGGGGUGUCCAUGUUUCUAUAAAGCUGCGAGAAAGACCCAGUCUGAAAAACAACAGCCGAAGAUACAGGAGAACAAAGGAAUAAUUGAUAAAUCGACAUCCUUGGAACCAUCUAAGGAAAAAAGGGUCAAGAAUGCUAAUGAGGAGUUUGGCUUUCAAUUGAGUGUGGACAAGGUGCAUCUUGUCCAUAGCGAUCUUAUAAAGACACUCACAAAACAAGACUUCCAGAAAUGCUUCAGCAAGUGGCAAGAGCAAUGAGCUAAAUGUGUUUAAGGUGAAGAGGCUGGUGGUAACUCAAGAGUCCAGUGUACCAGAUUCAAAUGGGGCUGAAGUAGUAAAGAAAGUUGGGGAGAUCAAGACACAGGAACACAUAAGGAUUGUGA
rnacentral:lncRNA from 1 species